CAGCGUCUCUGGACAAGUCCUCUGUCCUCACGACACAACUGUGCCAACUCCAGGUGAGCCUUGGGCCCUGAGAAAUGGCACCCAACGUUCCUUUCAGGAUAUAUUCCUCAAAGAGCAACCACUCAAAAUGUCACCCUAGCAAACACUGGGGUGGCCCUGUGGUGGGAGGCACGUCAGACCCCCCAGAGCCACAGCCAGGCCUCUCGAGGGGGGCGGGGCAAAGACUGGAGGGGAUUCUCUCCUCCCCCCACAACAGAACCCACCCGGAAACAAGAGGCAAAGCCCUGCAGCUGUACCGGCCACUCCACCAUCACUCUGAACCAAUGGUUCUUAUUUACAUGAGUUAUCAGAUGGUUAAAUAGCUCACAUCUACGAAGAACAUAUCCGGGUCCAAUGCUGUGCUGGACUAAAUAAGCAUGACACUGUGAGAAAAUCACAGCUUAUCUUAACGAGAGACAAGAAAGCUUGCUACCAAGAAUCGUCAACGAGCUGCACCGACGGCACAGUUCCCACGGACAGGGUCGGCUCCUGGAGGACCUCUCAAGGCUCUCGUACAGGCAGAGGGCACGUGUUUCCAGCCUACGCUGGCAGGACACAAAGAAUGGACCCUCUCCAGGCAGGCCUUCCCUGGCUGGACCCAGGGACCCACAGCUAACUCAGCCGCUUAACACCAGCCUCCUGUCUCAGGCCACGUUUCUGCACAGGUCACCCUGAGCCUGAGGCGCACCCAGCAAUGGAACUGAGUUAGGGUCCGGGGUUUUGACAAUGAAGCAAGGCAAGUCAGCAGACAUCUACCACAUGCCAGCA
rnacentral:lncRNA from 1 species